GCCCUACGGGGCGCAGCAGGCGCGAAACCUCUGCAAUGCGGGAAACCGUGACAGGGGGAUCCCAAGUGCUCAUGCAUUGCAUGGGCUGUUCUUUGGUCUAAGUAACCAGAGGAGUAAGGGCUAGGCAAGACCGGUGCCAGCCGCCGCGGUAAUACCGGCAGCUCAAGUGGUAGCCGCGAUUAUUGGGCCUAAAACGUUCGUAGCCGGAUAAGUAAGUCUUUGGUUAAAUCCUGCGACUCAACCGUGGGAAUUCUAGAGAUACUGCUCGUCUUGAGACCGGGAGAGGUUGGAGGUACUCCUAGGGUAGGGGUGAAAUCCUGUAAUCCUAGGGGGACCACCUGUGGCGAAGGCGUCCAACUGGAACGGGUCUGACGGUGAGGGACGAAACCUAGGGGAGCGAGCCGGAUUAGAUACCCGGGUAGUCCUAGGCGUAAAUGAUGCGAGUUAAGUGUGGGGGCAUCUACGAGAUGGCCCUGUGCUGUAGGGUAGCCGUUAAACUCGCUGCCUGGGGAGUACGGUCGCAAGGCUGAAACUUAAAGGAAUUGGCGGGGGAGCACCACAAGAGGUGGAGGCUGCGGUUCAAUUGGACUCAACGCCGGAAAACUCAUCG
rnacentral:rRNA from 1 species